GACGAACGCUGGCGGCGCGCUUAACACAUGCGAGUCGAACGGAAAGGCCUGCUUUCCCUUGUGGAUUGCGGGUACUCGAGUGGCGAACGGGUGAGUAACACGUGAGUGAUCUGCCCCCAACUUGGGUAUAAGCCUGGGAAACUGGGUCUAAUUCCCGAUAGGACUGCAGGGUGGUGCCUGUGGUGGAAAACGAUUUUCUAGUGGUUGGGGAUGAGCUCGCGGCCUAUCAGCUUGUUGGUGGGGUAAUGGCCUACCAAGGCGGCGACGGGUAGCCGGCCUGGGAGGGUGGACGGCCACAUUGGGACUGAGAGACGGCCCAGACUCCUACGGGAGGCAGCAGUGGGGAAUAUUGCACAAUGGGCGGAAGCCUGAUGCAGCGACGCCGCGUGGGGGAUGACGGCCUUCGGGUUGUAAACUCCUUUCGACCGCGAGGAAGCCACCUGGUUGGAAGGGUGGUGACGGUAGUGGUAGAAGAAGCACCGGCUAACUACGUG
rnacentral:rRNA from 1 species